ensembl:lncRNA
AGACAAGUUUGCAGGCAUGAAAUGCACGUUUGUGUGGUGAGAUGUGCCUGGCAGUGCUCUGUGGUUACCUGUUUGAGGAGAGACAGCCAUUUUGCCAGGGAAGCUCCUUGAUGAAAGCCUCGAGCAGACCUCCUUGUGUUGGGAAACAUAACUGAGCCCAUAAAAAGAAAUCUGCUGUAGCUGUCCCAUUGGAACUGAGUCUGGUGUGCAGGUGGAGGUCACGAUGCCAGCUGUGAUGAGUAGAUAUGCUGCUAUUGUCUACCAUGAAUUAUUGCCUGGGGAUGUACAGGAGAUGGGGAGAUAUUUGACUGCAUCCCCUCUGAUUAUAGCAGUGAGCAAGGCAAAUGGAUGGAAUACAGAUGAGAGAAGUAAUUGAAGCCAUGUUCCUCCAAGGCAUUUAAGCAGCUUUUCCAAACCUUUGAGAAUCUCAGCAUUUCAGCAAAGGAAGCUGCAGGACUCAAGCGCUGGUCAUCAUUUCCUGUUCUCAAUGCCUGCUUCUCUCUCUGCUGGUAAGAUGGAAAGAUGAAGGCAGGCUGUCUCCCUCAGCUCACCCUUAAAAGGAAGAGAAACGUUGCUGAGCAACUUCAGGGGCCUUCAAGGUCUUCCCUUGGAGGAAACAAAGAGAGCUUUGCCGCCAGCUCCGUGGGACAGGCUGCAACAUCAAGGCCCUUUAGGGCAGCAGAAAUGAAAGAUAUUAAAACUGUAAAAGAAAGCUUUAAAGGCCAAUGUGUGGGAGUAAUACAAAGGACACAAAGCAACACAAAUAAAAGCGUGGCUGCAAAGAGCUUUUUGUUGUACUGCAAAUAACGUAGAAAGCUAUGGGCAUGGGGAGAAGUGAUAUCAUGCUAUAUCUCUCAUUGAUAAACUGUUGAUAAAGGUGAUAAGUACUGUCAUAUGAAUCUUAUUUCUUCCAGUAUUUGAAAAAUAU